UAAGGAAUAUUGGACAAUGGACGCAAGUCUGAUCCAGCCAUGCCGCGUGAAGGAUGAAUGCCCUCUGGGUUGUAAACUUCUUUUAUAGGGGAAGAAAGAUACUUUUUUUAAGGUAGUUGACGGUACCCUAUGAAUAAGCACCGGCUAACUCCGUGCCAGCAGCCGCGGUAAUACGGAGGGUGCAAGCGUUAUCCGGAUUUACUGGGUUUAAAGGGUGCGUAGGCGGGCAUGUAAGUCAGUGGUGAAAUACCGGAGCUUAACUUCGGAACUGCCAUUGAUACUAUAUGUCUUGAAUAUUGUUGAGGGAAGCGGAAUAUGUCAUGUAGCGGUGAAAUGCAUAGAUAUGACAUAGAACACCGAUUGCGGAGGCAGCUUGCUACGCAAAUAUUGACGCUGAGGCACGAAAGCGUGGGGAUCAAACA
rnacentral:rRNA from 1 species